rnacentral:rRNA from 1 species
UACGUAGGGUGCGAGCGUUGUCCGGAAUUACUGGGCGUAAAGCGUGCGCAGGCGGUUAUGCAAGACAGAUGUGAAAUCCCCGGGCUCAACCUGGGAACUGCAUUUGUGACUGCAUGACUAGAGUACGGCAGAGGGGGAUGGAAUUCCGCGUGUAGCAGUGAAAUGCGUAGAUAUGCGGAGGAACACCGAUGGCGAAGGCAAUCCCCUGGGCCUGUACUGACGCUCAUGCACGAAAGCGUGGGGAGCAAACAGG